ACAAGACGGAAGCAGCUGUGGAGUUAUUGUAGUCAAAAUGGCAAAAGCACUGAUGGAAGCCUUCCCUCUGAUGCCAGAUGUAGAUUUUGACACAACAAAAAGGCAAUGAAAAGUGAAAGAAGAACUCUCGCUCUUCAAAUCCUUGAUGCAUCAGUAUUUGAUGACCACUGUUGGUGUGCGAUGUGCGCUGCAUACAAAGCCCCGGGGUCUGGCCCUGGAAUGACAGACUGGAUCCAGUGUGACAACUGUGACCGAUGGUACCAUGCCCUGUGCAUAAAUAUGAAGAGCACAGAAUUUCAAAA